GACCUAGACUCUACACAUAACAAUCCGCCGAUUUUUGCUUCAGAAAUCAAGAGAAAAAUACAAAAAAAAGAUAGACCUAAGACUAAGCUAAGACCGACCGUUUUCUGAAUGGGGAAUACACAGUAGACCAUUAGCUCAUCUUCUCCAUUAGAGAUAAUACCUAAACAGACCUAUACGCAUAAAGCUAAGAUCGGCUGUUUCUAUUUUUGGAAGCUAAGCUUCAUCUUCUCCAUGAAGAGAAGCAAAAAAAACAACCCUAGAAAACUUUCAGAAAAACAGCCACAAGAACUAAAGAAUGACCCCCCUAAGCUCAUCUCCUUCGACAACAGCCCCUCCAUAGCAGCCCAACGCCGCCGGCACAUCUCCUCUCAAAACGACUAGCCACCACAACAACCAGCCUCUUCUGCCAUCUCCAUAACCAGCUCCACCGGCGAGACUGUCGUUCUCACCUCGUUCCUGUUUCUCUCUCCCUCACCUUGCUCUUUCUUUCACUCCUCUCGCUGAUGCGAUGAAACUCGCCGGAAGUCAGCGAGCUUGCAGCUCCUGUUUUGAUGAGAAGUGACUUUCCGGUGACCAUCAUUGAAACCGGCGAACGCACACCACAACUGUUUCAAAGCCAUAGAUUCCAUUUUUGAAGCUCGUUUGGAGAGUUGUUUGGAGCUGAGAUGUUGGAAGCAAUUUGAAGUCGUCGUUCAGUUCCGUUCGAGAUUCCGGCGAGGUUCCGGCACUGCUGCGUUUUCUAUUUGAUUUCAGCUUCUAUUUGGCUUCUCCUUAUUGCUUUGCUUACUCAAGAGGUGUGAGUCUAUUUACCAGAGUUUGAGUAUGGCAGACGCCCCAGGACCAUCCAAUCAGGAUCACUCAUUCAAGGGUUGCUUAAGGAGAUUUUUUUUUAUGUUUUGAGUCUGUUUUUCAUUUUAUGUCAUUUUUUACUUUCUAGUUUUGUACAGUAAUGUUGAGUCUUAUAUUAUUGUACUUUCUACUUUGGGUUUGAAAAAGUGUGUUGUAACUCAAAAAUAAAAAAAAAGAGGUUUUGCAUUUUAUA